GACGUAGGGCGCAAGCGUUUGUCCGGAUUUAUUGGGCGUAAAGAGCUCGUAGGCGGCUUGUCGCGUCGACUGUGAAAACCCGUGGCUCAACCAUGUGGUCUGCAGUCGAUACGGGCAGGCUAGAAUUCGGUAGGGGAGACUGGAAUUCCUGGUGUAGCGGUGAAAUGCGCAGAUAUCAGGAGGAACACCGGUGGCGAAGGCGGAUCUCUGGGCCAUUACUGACGCUGAGGAGCGAAAGCGUGGGGAGCGAACAGG
rnacentral:rRNA from 1 species